GAUGAACGCUAGCGGCAGGCCUAACACAUGCAAGUCGAGGGGCAGCACGUCUUCGGAUGGUGGCGACCGGCGCACGGGUGCGUAACGCGUAUGCGACCUACCUCUUACAGUGGGAUAGCCCAGAGAAAUUUGGAUUAAUACCGCAUAGUAUGCGACAUCAGCAUUGAUUUUGACGUAUUAAACAUUCAUGGGUAAGAGAUGGGCAUGCGUUCUAUUAGUUAGUUGGAGUGGUAACGGCACCCCAAGACAGCGAUAGAUAGGGCCCGUGAGAGGGGGAGUCCCCACACUGGUACUGAGACACGGACCAGACUCCUACGGAGGCAGCAGUGAGGAAUAUUGGACAAUGGGCGGGAGCCUGAUCCAGCCAUGCCGCGUGCAGGAGACUGCCCUA
rnacentral:rRNA from 1 species